CCCUUAGAUGUUCUGGGCCGCACGCGCGCUACACUGAUGCAUUCAACGAGUCUAAAACCUGGUCUGAUAGGGCUGGGUAAUCUUUUGAAAGUGCAUCGUGAUUGGGAUAGAUGAUUGCAAUUCUUCAUCUUCAACGAGGAAUGCCUAGUAAACGCAAGUCAUCAGCUUGCAUUGAUUACGUCCCUGCCCUUUGUACACACCGCCCGUCGCUCCUACCAAUUGAAUGAUCCGAUGAAUACCAUGGAUUGAGAGUACGAAUGGGUUCGCUCAUUUCUGCUGCUCGAGAAGUGGAGUAAAUCUUAUCAUUUAGAGGAAGGAGAAGUCGUAACA
rnacentral:rRNA from 1 species